rnacentral:rRNA from 1 species
GAGCACGUAGGUGGGUUUGUAAGUCAGGUGUGAAAGCCUUCUGUUCAAAGGAAGAACGGCAUCUGAAACUGCAGAUCUUGAGUUUAGGAGGGGAGAGUGGAACUUCUGGUGGAGCGGUGAAAUGCGUAGAUAUCAGAAGGAACGUCGGCGGCGAAAGCGACUCUCUGGCCUAAUACUGACACUGAGGUGCGAAAGUUAGGGGAGCAAACGGGAUUAGAUACCCCGGUAGUCCUAACCGUAAACGAUGGGCACUAAGUAGAGGGAAUUACCAAUGUUCUCUCUGCCGUAGCUAACGCAUUAAGUGCCCCGCCUGGGGAGUACGGCCGCAAGGCUAAAACUCAAAAGAAUUGACGGGGGCUCGCACAAGCGGUGGAGCAUGUGGCUUAAUUCGAUGCAACGCGAAAAACCUUACCGGGGUUUGACAUGACAGAAGUAGGAGCCUGAAAGGGUAACCAACGGUAUCCAGUCCGUAACUAUUACAGGUGUUGCAUGGCUGUCGUCAGCUCGUGUCGUGAGACGUUGGGUUAAGUCCCCUAACGAGCGAAACCCUUGUUUUUAGUUACCAUCGGGUAGUGCCGGGUACUCUAAAAAGACUGCCGUCGUCAAGACGGAGGAAGGUGGGGAUGACGUCAAGUCAUCAUGGCCCUUAUACCCCGGGCUGCACACGUGCUACAAUGGUCGGUACAAAAGGAAGCAAGACCGAGAGGUGAAGCGAAUCC